UCAAACUAUCAUACAGUGGAGAUUCAAUUGUGUCACCGAUUCAAUAUGGUGAUCUCAAUAGUGUCAUUUUGAUACAAACCGACCGUGGAAUGUAUGCCAAAAAUGAAGAAGUGAAAAUGAGAAUUGUAACAUUGACCCAAAGUUUAAAACCAUUAAAAACACAGAUCAGUGCUGCCGUCUAUGAUGGAAAAAAUAAACUAGUGCAGCAAUGGUUAAACGUGCGAGGAGUAUUGGGU